AUACGGAGGGUGCAAGCGUUACUCGGAAUCACUGGGCGUAAAGCGCGCGCAGGCGGGCUGAUAAGUCGGAUGUGAACGCCUACGGCUCAACCGUAGAACUGCAUCCAAAACUGUCAGUCUAGAGUGUGGGAGAGGAAGAUGGAAUUAGUUGUGUAGGGGUAAAAUCCGUAGAGAUAACUAGGAAUACCAAAAGCGAAGGCAAUCUUCUGGAACACUACUGACGCUGAGGCGCGAAGGCGUGGGGAGCAAACAGGAUUAGAAACCCCAGUAGUCC
rnacentral:rRNA from 1 species